CUCCGGCCUAUAUAAUGAUGUGGUUAUUUUUAGAUCUCCAUUAUCCCUAGAGAGCCCUGCACUGCCAUCUGAUUUGUUAACAACAGACUGACAGAAAUGUGAUUAUUGAUUCUCUCCAUGUGCUUUUUUGGGGCACUGAAUCCCUUGGGACUGAAUGACAUUUGCAAUUUUGUUUACCAGCAGUUCUGUGCGUUCCUUUCAUCUGUGCUAUAAACACAUUGGAAAUCAAUUGUGUUCAAACACAAUUGCCAAGGUUAAGAAAAGGCUUCUUUUUUAUUUUUUUGUAAGGGAGGGGAAAUUUAUUUAGAGAAUCUUCUAAGCAUAUUUUUUUCUUUGAGGAAAGGAUGCAAAGAAGGAAAAGUGAAAGAGAAAAAGAGAAAGAAGAGAAGAAAGGAAAAAACCCUCAGAUUUGGACUAUUUAGUCCUCUAAUCAGGAUACCUCUAAAGCUGGUGGCAAGCUGACACACCGAUUUGAGGAAUUUCCACAAGCCAAAGUCUUUCCCCACUUUGUGAAUACGGGACAUCAGAGAAAGAGAGAGAGAGAGAGCAAAAGCCAGCCUCCUGAGCUUACUCUACUCAGAGACCAACUAUCAGAAUGAAAAUUCCAACUCAUCAAACCUCCACAGAAUUCCAUCAGUCACUGAACUGCAAAAUUCCAACCAAGAUCCAAACUGCUGCCCAAGAGGUGAAUCCAUUGGAUCAAAGAAUAGUAUCGUUCAUCAGUGCACCCUUCUCUCCUAAAAUGGAUGGCUGUGUGGGUUGAGAGGAUCAAGGAUCAAGAUUUCUUGUAGAGAAAUCAUAGAAAGGACUACAUAAGUAUAACACCUGGGGGUAAGUUCUCACCACAACAUUCAUAUUUUUACUUAUAAUUACAAAAAUUUAAUACAACUUGAA
rnacentral:lncRNA from 1 species